UGCGUAGGCGGUCGUCUAAGUAGGGUGUGAAAUCCCCCGGCUCAACCGGGGAACUGCGCUCUAAACUGGAUGGCUUGAGUAAGAUAGGGGUGUGCGGAACUUCCGGUGGAGCGGUGAAAUGUGUUGAUAUCGGAAGGAACACCAGUAGCGAAAGCGGCACACUGGGUCUUAACUGACGCUGAGGCACGAAAGCUAGGGUAGCGAACAGGAUUAGAUACCCUGGUAGUCC
rnacentral:rRNA from 1 species